GAACCCUGUCGUAAUGUCUUUGGUUGGGGCGACCCCGGGAAAAUAAAAAACCCCCGAACGGAAUGAAGAAAUUUAAACUUCAUAAACAAGAGCCACAGCUCACAAAAUCAGAACUUCUGACCCAAAGAUCCGAUAUAAUCGAUCAACGGACCGAGUUACCCUAGGGAUAACAGCGCAAUCCUCUUUAAGAGCCCCUAUCGACAAGAGGGUUUACGACCUCGAUGUUGGAUCAGGACAUCCUAAUGGUGCAGCCGCUAUUAAGGGUUCGUUUGUUCAACGAUUAA
rnacentral:rRNA from 1 species